rnacentral:rRNA from 1 species
UAGGGAAUAUUGGACAAUGGGCGCAAGCCUGAUCCAGCCAUGCCGCGCGAGUGAAGAAGGCCCUCGGGUUGUAAAGCUCUUUUGUCCGGAAAGAAAAGCUUUGGGUUAAUACCCCGAAGUCCUGACGGUACCGGAAGAAUAAGCACCGGCUAACUUCGUGCCAGCAGCCGCGGUAAUACGAAGGGUGCAAGCGUUACUCGGAAUUACUGGGCGUAAAGCGUGCGUAGGUGGUUCGUUAAGUCUGAUGUGAAAGCCCUGGGCUCAACCUGGGAAUGGCAUUGGAUACUGGCGGGCUAGAGUGCGGUAGAGGGCAGUGGAAUUCCCGGUGUAGCAGUGAAAUGCGUAGAGAUCGGGAGGAACAUCUGUGGCGAAGGCGACUGCCUGGACCAGCACUGACACUGAGGCACGAAAGCGUGGGGAGCAAACAGG